ACAGCUGCCGGGCCUAUAAUAGUAAAACCCACAGGUCUGAAACAUCAUCAACAUCAACAAUCACUGUGCUUGAGAGAAUCUCUGGUGCUGCCAUUACAAUCACUGGUGGCAUCCUGAUAGCAGGUGAGAGUUCUGUCAUCUUAACCUGCGAUGCACAGGGCAUCAUCAUCACCAGAGAGUGGAGAAAGGAUGGCAAUCCUCUGCAAGGAGUUAACAUCGAUGAGCUCAACAGAACAGUUUCCAUCAGCCCAGUAAA